GAUGAACGCUGGCGGCGUGCCUAAUACAUGCAAGUCGAGCGAAUGGAUUAAGAGCUUGCUCUUAUGAAGUUAGCGGCGGACGGGUGAGUAACACGUGGGUAACCCGCCCAUAAGACUGGGAUAACUCCGGGAAACCGGGGCUAAUACCGGAUAACAUUUUGAACCGCAUGGUUCGAAAUUGAAAGGCGGCUUCGGCUGUCACUUAUGGAUGGACCCGCGUCGCAUUAGCUAGUUGGUGAGGUAACGGCUCGCCAAGGCAACGAUGCGUAGCCGACCUGAGAGGGUGAUCGGCCACACUGGGACUGAGACACGGCCCAGACUCCUACGGGAGGCAGCAGUAGGGAAUCUUCCGCAAUGGACGAAAGUCUGACGGAGCAACGCCGCGUGAGUGAUGAAGGCUUUCGGGUCGUAAAACUCUGUUGUUAGGGAAGAACAAGUGCUAGUUGAAUAAGCUGGCACCUUGACGGUACCUAACCAGAAAGCCACGGCUAACUACGUGCCAGCCGCCCGCGGUAA
rnacentral:rRNA from 1 species